rnacentral:rRNA from 1 species
GAUGAACGCUGGCGGCGUGCCUAAUACAUGCAAGUCGAGCGAACGGACGAGAAGCUUGCUUCUCUGAUGUUAGCGGCGGACGGGUGAGUAACACGCGGAUAACCUACCUAUAAGACUGGGAUAACUUCGGGAAACCGGAGCUAAUACCGGAUAAUAUUUUGAACCGCAUGGUUCAAAAGUGAAAGACGGUCUUGCUGUCACUUAUAGAUGGAUCCGCGCUGCAUUAGCUAGUUGGUAAGGUAACGGCUUACCAAGGCAACGAUGCAUAGCCGACCUGAGAGGGUGAUCGGCCACACUGGAACUGAGACACGGUCCAGACUCCUACGGGAGGCAGCAGUAGGGAAUCUUCCGCAAUGGGCGAAAGCCUGACGGAGCAACGCCGCGUGAGUGAUGAAGGUCUUCGGAUCGUAAAACUCUGUUAUUAGGGAAGAACAUAUGUGUAAGUAACUGUGCACAUCUUGACGGUACCUAAUCAGAAAGCCACGGCUAACUACGUGCCAGCAGCCGCGGUAAUACGUAGGUGGCAAGCGUUAUCCGGAAUUAUUGGGCGUAAAGCGCGCGUAGGCGGUUUUUUAAGUCUGAUGUGAAAGCCCACGGCUCAACCGUGGAGGGUCAUUGGAAACUGGAAAACUUGAGUGCAGAAGAGGAAAGUGGAAUUCCAUGUGUAGCGGUGAAAUGCGCAGAGAUAUGGAGGAACACCAGUGGCGAAGGCGACUUUCUGGUCUGUAACUGACGCUGAUGUGCGAAAGCGUGGGGAUCAAACAGGAUUAGAUACCCUGGUAGUCCACGCCGUAAACGAUGAGUGCUAAGUGUUAGGGGGUUUCCGCCCCUUAGUGCUGCAGCUAACGCAUUAAGCACUCCGCCUGGGGAGUACGACCGCAAGGUUGAAACUCAAAGGAAUUGACGGGGACCCGCACAAGCGGUGGAGCAUGUGGUUUAAUUCGAAGCAACGCGAAGAACCUUACCAAAUCUUGACAUCCUUUGACAACUCUAGAGAUAGAGCCUUCCCCUUCGGGGGACAAAGUGACAGGUGGUGCAUGGUUGUCGUCAGCUCGUGUCGUGAGAUGUUAGGUUAAGUCCCGCAACGAGCGCAACCCUUAAGCUUAGUUGCCAUCAUUAAGUUGGGCACUCUAAGUUGACUGCCGGUGACAAACCGGAGGAAGGUGGGGAUGACGUCAAAUCAUCAUGCCCCUUAUGAUUUGGGCUACACACGUGCUACAAUGGACAAUACAAAGGGCAGCGAAACCGCGAGGUCAAGCAAAUCCCAUAAAGUUGUUCUCAGUUCGGAUUGUAGUCUGCAACUCGACUACAUGAAGCUGGAAUCGCUAGUAAUCGUAGAUCAGCAUGCUACGGUGAAUACGUUCCCGGGUCU